CAGAUUUGAAAGGAGAUCGAAUUCGAUAGACAAAUUCAUCUACAAGCCUGAUGACCAAGACUAGUGAAAUUACCAGGGGAACUUGAUAAAUCAACACACAAGAAGUCAAAUGAGCUUCUGCAUUCAUUCUCAUAAUCUAUACUACUGGACAACAACUUUCUCAAAACCUGAGCGUACUUGGUUGAUCAAUUUAUGUGUUGCAGCCCACAGAGAAAAAUAACAAAAGGACCAAGAACUAACACUACAACUGAAUUGUUUAAAAUCAUCCGAAGUUUGCAUUUGAUGUACAUGUAUAUUGCUUUAUAGCUUUGUGUAAAUUUGAUAAAUUUGAUAAUACAAUUUCAGAGAAAUAUGAAAUAAAUUUGAUAGUACAAUUUCA